AUGGGCUUCGGGCACACAUCGUCGGCCUGCACUGCCGCCUUCGUAGACCCAAGUUUCUCUCCCCGCUUUGUCUGGUUUCCUCUAGAAAAAGGAAACAAUUCGUUUGGGAGCCGGAGAUUUGCAACAAAAAAAGGAGCUGGAGAGGAUAAGGUGAAAUCGGCGGCACCGCCGCCGCCGCUACGGGGCACGAGCAUGGAGGCGGCUGGGAUAGUGUGGUGCCGCCGCCGCUACGGAGCACGGAGGCGGCUGGGAACAGGGGGGAGACGAUGGCGGCCUGAGCGGGCGGCGUUGGGCGCCAUGGGGUUCAACAUCUCGCUGGCCUUGACUCACGCACGUCCCGUUCCGCUCAGGGCACAUCCUGCCUCAGCAGCCACACCUCUCCCUCCAAGCACAGAGCAUGCUGCCCCCACCCCCGUACAAUGA
rnacentral:rRNA from 1 species